rnacentral:rRNA from 1 species
UUUGUAUCGCCUGACAAUACAAGGUUAACUUAAUUCAACAUCGAGGUGUCAAACUUUAUUUUUGAUAUCUUCUCUAGAAUAAAAUUAACCUGUUAUCCCUGAAGUAGCUUUUAUUUAUUAAUUAUCUCAUUUUUUUUUUAAUCAAGAUAGGUCACUUAAUACUAUUUUAUAAUUGUUAAAUUAAUAAAUUAAACAAUAAUUUUUAUUAUAUUAUAUAAUACAUUUUUUUUUUUUAAAAUGUUGUUGCCCCAACCAAACUACCAAUUUUAUUACAGGUAUAUCAAUUAAACAUUAAUUGAUAUAUUGAACAAUAAAAUUAUAGUCAAGCUUUACAGGGUCUUCUCGUCUUACAAUUCUAUAUAGCUUCUUCACUAUAAAAUAAAUUUCUAUUAUAUUAUAAUUAAGACAGUGGAAAAUUCGUUCAAUCAUUCAUCUACGUUCAUUAAUUAAAUGACUAAUUAUUUUCCUACAUUAUUACCGUCAGAAUACAGCAGCUGUUAAAAUUUUUUU